rnacentral:rRNA from 1 species
CACGUAGGGCGCAAGCGUUGUCCGGAAUUACUGGGCGUAAAGCGCGCGUAGGCGGCUUUGCAAGUCGGGUGUGAAAUCCCCAGGCCUAACCUGGGAACUGCACUCGAGACUGCAUGGCUAGAGUAUCGGAGAGGGAAGUGGAAUUUCAGGUGUAGCGGUGAAAUGCGUAGAUAUCUGAAGGAACAUCAGUGGCGAAAGCGGCGAGCUGGAUCACUACUGACGCUGAGGAACGAAAGCUAGGGGAGCAAACAGG